GUUUCAUUUAAACAGAUCACAAUCCAAUUUGAAUUCUUCUUAUCAGAUUGGACUACUCAAAAAUGGUGCAGCAAGAGAUUCAAACCUUGCUUGCUCACAAGGUUAAUAUUUACAAAUAUUGACUUCUGUUGAGCCCUUUGGAACUUAAAAAAUAGUCUCUUGAUUUCUCAGUGAUAACACAGGAGGGAUUUUUGUUUUGUUUUUUUAGUUGGGCAGUGCACAAUUUUAUAUUUUUACUCUGAAAGCUGGUUUGCAAGGAGGUGCAUAAAUAUUAUUUAUCAAAUUACUAGCAUUUUUUGCAAUGCAACUUAUGUUUUUAUAAUGACACCAGAUUAAGAAGAGUGAAAGAAUUGAGCUGCAAAUCUAAGCUUUGCACUCCCAAUCUUAUGUUGGAAUAAUAAAUUCAGUUCAGCCAUAACUUACUGAAUAUGUCUAAUAUUUCUGAAAAUGUCUGAGAUAUUACUGGAUAGGUCAUAGAAGAAAUAUGGAGAAAUGGAAACUAGAAUGAUCUGUGUGAUUCUAGCACUGCUCCAUCACUCAUGGGAAGACCCUGACCUUUCUCUUCAGUGAACAUGGAUGAAGUUCAGGCAGCAUCAGCAUGCACAAUGAGUGAAGCAGAGAUUCCCUGAAUUCAGUAGAAUUUUAUCUUAGACAAAUGUCUACACUUAUUUUGUGUUUUGUAUACUAUCUUUGCUGGGGUUGUUUCAAAAAUUAGAAAAUAUUUUAGUAUUAAAAUCUCAAAUAGAUCUCCCCAAAUAAAACAAAUUAAAAAACCUCAACCCAAAAGAUAAACCUCUACCCAUGCCAAGCACAUCUUAUUUCCUCAUUAUUUUACAAAAGAUUCAAACUGCAAGAUGAUAAAUAA
rnacentral:lncRNA from 1 species